rnacentral:rRNA from 1 species
AGUGAACGCUGGCGGUAGGCCUAACACAUGCAAGUCGAACGGCAGCACAGUAAGAGCUUGCUCUUACGGGUGGCGAGUGGCGGACGGGUGAGGAAUACAUCGGAAUCUACUUUUUCGUGGGGGAUAACGUAGGGAAACUUACGCUAAUACCGCAUACGACCUACGGGUGAAAGCAGGGGAUCUUCGGACCUUGCGCGAUUGAAUGAGCCGAUGUCGGAUUAGCUAGUUGGCGGGGUAAAGGCCCACCAAGGCGACGAUCCGUAGCUGGUCUGAGAGGAUGAUCAGCCACACUGGAACGGAGACACGGUCCAGACUCCUACGGGAGGCAGCAGUGGGGAAUAUUGGACAAUGGGCGCAAGCCUGAUCCAGCCAUACCGCGUGGGUGAAGAAGGCCUUCGGGUUGUAAAGCCCUUUUGUUAGGAAAGAAAAGCGGCAGGUUAAUACCCCGCUGUUCUGACGGUACCCAAAGAAUAAGCACCGGCUAACUUCGUG